CUAACCACUCGACUUACUGUCGCAUAGUAGAGAAAUUAUCGAACAGUAAAGGAUAACCUCACAGGCAGGUUUGACUUACAUUAGCUGUUUAGGUUUAAUUACUAAUGUUAACCAUCAUUUUAGUUAACAGUAAUUAGCCUGUGCCUAUGUUAUCUCCUAACGAAUA